AACGAACGCUGGCGGCAUGCCUAACACAUGCAAGUCGAACGAGGCCUUCGGGUCUAGUGGCGCACGGGUGCGUAACGCGUGGGAACCUGCCCUUAGGUUCGGAAUAACUCCCCGAAAGGGGUGCUAAUACCGGAUAAUGUCUUCGGACCAAAGAUUUAUCGCCUUUGGAUGGGCCCGCGUUGGAUUAGCUAGUUGGUAGGGUAAAAGCCUACCAAGGCGACAAUCCAUAGCUGGUCUGAGAGGAUGAUCAGCCACACUGGGACUGAGACACGGCCCAGACUCCUACGGGAGGCAGCAGUGGGGAAUAUUGGACAAUGGGCGAAAGCCUGAUCCAGCAAUGCCGCGUGAGUGAUGAAGGCCUUAGGGUUGUAAAGCUCUUUUACCCGGGAUGAUAAUGACAGUACCGGGAGAAUAAGCUCCGGCUAACUCCGUG
rnacentral:rRNA from 1 species